rnacentral:rRNA from 1 species
UACGUAGGGGGCUAGCGUUAUCCGGAAUUACUGGGCGUAAAGGGUGCGUAGGUGGUUUCUUAAGUCAGAGGUGAAAGGCUACGGCUCAACCGUAGUAAGCCUUUGAAACUGGGAAACUUGAGUGCAGGAGAGGAGAGUGGAAUUCCAUGUGUAGCGGUGAAAUGCGUAGAGAUAUGGAGGAACACCAGUGGCGAAGGCGGCUUCCUGGUCUGUAACUGACACUGAGGCGCGAAAGCGUGGGGAGCAAACAGGAUUAGAUACCCCGGUAGUCCCUGAGCGGG